CCUACGGGUGGCAGCAGUGGGGAAUAUUGGACAAUGGGCGAAAGCCUGAUCCAGCCAUGCCGCGUGUGUGAAGAAGGCCUUCGGGUUGUAAAGCACUUUCAGUGGGGAAGAAAGCCUUUGGGCUAAUACCCUCGAGGAAGGACAUCACCCACAGAAGAAGCACCGGCUAACUCCGUGCCAGCAGCCGCGGUAAUACGGAGGGUGCGAGCGUUAAUCGGAAUUACUGGGCGGAAAGCGCGCGUAGGCGGUCUGAUAAGCCGGUUGUGAAAGCCCCGGGCUCAACCUGGGACCGGCAUCCGGAACUGUCAGACUAGAGUGCAGGAGAGGAGGGUAGAAUUCCCGGUGUAGCGGUGAAAUGCGUAGAGAUCGGGAGGAAUACCAGUGGCGAAGGCGGCUUUCUGGACUGAAACUGACGCUGAGGUGCGAAAGCGUGGGUAGCAAACAGGAUUAGAUACCCUUGUAGUC
rnacentral:rRNA from 1 species